rnacentral:rRNA from 1 species
UACGUAGGGUCCAAGCGUUAUCCGGAAUCACUGGGCGUAAAGCGUGCGUAGGUGGCGCGUUAAGUGAGAUGUUAAAUCGUGUGGCUCAACCAUAUCGAUGUAUCUCAUACUGGCGUGCUAGAGGACAGCAGAGGCAAGUGGAAUUAGUAGUGUAGCGGUGAAAUGCGUAGAUAUCAGGAGGAACACCUGUGGCGAAAGCGGCGCACUGGACCACAACGUGACGCUGAGGCGCGAAGGCUAGGGGAGCAAACAGG